UUGGGUAACACUAACUGGAGGACCGAACCCACUGUCGUUGAAAAGCCAGGGGAUGACUUGUGGAUAGGGGUGAAAGGCUAAUCAAGCCUGGUGAUAGCUGGUUCUCCCCGAAAGCUAUUUAGGUAGCGCCUCGGACGAAUACCAUAGGGGGUAGAGCACUGUUUCGGCUAGGGGGUCAUCCCGACUUACCAAACCGAUGCAAACUCCGAAUACCUAUGAGUACUAUCCGGGAGACAGACUGCGGGUGCUAACGUCCGUAGUCAAGAGGAAAACAAUCCAGACCGCCAGCUAAGGCCCCAAAAUCAUAGUUAAGUGGGAAACGAUGUGGGAAGGCAUAGACAGCUAGGAGGUUGGCUUAGAAGCAGCCACCCUUUAAAGAAAGCGUAAUAGCUCACUAGUCGAGUCGGCCUGCGCGGAAGAUGUAACGGGGCUAAAACUAUGUGCCGAAGCUGCGGAUUUGACAUUAGUCAAGUGGUAGGGGAGCGUUCUGUAAGCCGAUGAAGGUGUAUUGAGAAGUAUGCUGGAGGUAUCAGAAGUGCGAAUGCUGACGUGAGUAACGACAAAACGGGUGAAAAACCCGUUCGCCGAAAGACCAAGGGUUCCAGUCCAACGUUAAUCGGGGCUGGGUGAGUCGACCCCUAAGGCGAGGCCGAAAGGCGUAGUCGAUGGGAAAUUGGUUAAUAUUCCAAUACUUCUGUGUAAUGCGAUGAGAGGACGGAGAAGGUUAAGUCAGCCUGGCGUUGGUUGUCCAGGUGGAAGGAUGUAGGUAUGUAUCUUAGGCAAAUCCGGGGUACUCUAUACUGAGAUCCGAUAGCAAGCUGUACUUGUACAGUGAAGUGGCUGAUACCAUGCUUCCAGGAAAAGUCUCUAAGCUUCAGUUACACAGGAAUCGUACCCGAAACCGACACAGGUGGUCAGGUCGAGUAGACCAAGGCGCUUGAGAGAACUCUGCUGAAGGAACUAGGCAAAAUGGUACCGUAACUUCGGGAGAAGGUACGCUGUUGUUGGUGAUGGAACUUGCUUCCUGAGCUGACGACAGCCGCAGAAACCAGGCCGCUGCAACUGUUUAUUAAAAACAUAGCACUCUGCAAACACGAAAGUGGACGUAUAGGGUGUGAUGCCUGCCCGGUGCUGGAAGGUUAAUUGAUGGGGUUAGCGUAAGCGAAGCUCUUGAUCGAAGCCCCAGUAAACGGCGGCCGUAACUAUAACGGUCCUAAGGUAGCGAAAUUCCUUGUCGGGUAAGUUCCGACCUGCACGAAUGGCAUAAUGAUGGCGGCGCUGUCUCCAGCAGAGGCUCAGUGAAAUCGAAAUCGCUGUGAAGAUGCAGUGUACCCGCGGCUAGACGGAAAGACCCCGUGAACCUUUACUGCAGCUUGACACUGAACUUUGACCUUACUUGUGUAGGAUAGGUGGGAGGCUUUGAAGUUGGAACGCUAGUUCCAAUGGAGCCGUCCUUGAAAUACCACCCUGGUAAUGUUGAGGUUCUAACUCUGUCCCGUUAUCCGGGACGAGGACCGUGUCUGGUGGGUAGUUUGACUGGGGCGGUCUCCUCCUAAAGAGUAACGGAGGAGUACGAAGGUGCGCUCAGCGUGGUCGGAAAUCACGCGUAGAGUAUAAAGGCAAAAGCGCGCUUAACUGCGAGACCCACAAGUCGAGCAGGUACGAAAGUAGGUCUUAGUGAUCCGGUGGUUCUGUAUGGAAGGGCCAUCGCUCAACGGAUAAAAGGUACUCUGGGGAUAACAGGCUGAUACCGCCCAAGAGUUCAUAUCGACGGCGGUGUUUGGCACCUCGAUGUCGGCUCAUCUCAUCCUGGGGCUGAAGCAGGUCCCAAGGGUAUGGCUGUUCGCCAUUUAAAGAGGUACGCGAGCUGGGUUUAGAACGUCGUGAGACAGUUCGGUCCCUAUCUACCGUGGGCGCUGGAAAUUUGAGAGGAUCUGCUCCUAGUACGAGAGGACCAGAGUGGACGAACCUCUGGUGUACCGGUUGUGACGCCAGUCGCAUCGCCGGGUAGCUAUGUUCGGAAGGGAUAACCGCUGAAAGCAUCUAAGCGGGAAGCCUACCUCAAGAUAAGAUUUCCCUAGGAAUUUAUUCCUCUAAAGAGCCGUUCGAGACUAGGACGUUGAUAGGUUGGAUGUGGAAGCAUAGUGAUAUGUGAAGCUGACCAAUACUAAUUGCUCGUGAGGCUUGACUAUACAACACCCAAGCAGUUG
rnacentral:rRNA from 1 species